GUGGAAAGGGAUCGGUGGGGGCUCGAUCUCAUACAGGGAUGCCGGCGGCGCGGCAACACAGGCGGUCCACGAUGGGAUCCACUGUUCGCUGGUCUUCCCAGUGGAUCGAGCCGAGGCGCUCAAGGCGAUCCAGCGGCGCGCGGCCUUCUCAGUGGAUCCAGCCGAGGCGCGCCAGGGAAUCAUCCUAGGGUUUGGAGUUGGUGACCGAGGAGGAGGCGGCACCGGCGAUGGUGCGCAAGCCGUGCACGAGGCCACGGCGACUCCACAAAGUCUGCUCUGCUCUCCCCGACCCUUGACGGCGUGCUCUCCGAUCUCCACUCCCUCCUUCUCUCCACGCUUGUCGCGUGGCUGCCCUCCCCAUCACCAUGGCGACGAUGUGAGUUUCCCCACUCAGGCCCCUUUUUCAUCUCCUCCCCGUGUGCAUCACCUUUAUACCGCACGAGCAGAAAUUGCCUCUCAUUCCUAUCCUGUGCGGAACAAGUUAGGCCUGGAAGGUGGGAGAUAUGAACUUAUAGCCUGCCUUGUGAAUGUUUGAUUAGGAAUGAGGUGAUCUGAUGGGAUGAUGUUGUUUUUCAAGCAGAGGUCUGGAAGGGGGGAGAUAUGAGAUUAUAGCCUGCCUUGGUGGUCACGUUGAGGGAUCAAUCCUGUUGUUUCCUUAUUAGAAAAUAAAUUGGUGUAUUUCUGAUAAGAAUUUUGUACAUUAUGAUGCAAGUUUAUCUACUUUUUACCUGGGACGGCUGCAUGAUUUUGUGACUGAUUGCUACAGAAUUUUCUUGUAGGUUCUAAAGACUCGAGGUCAUUGACCCUCAUCACGGAAUCUAACAUGGAGCAACAUGUUAAUGUCGUCGACACAUAUUUUCUAUUUGAUCAUGUAUGCUCCUGUAUCUCAGACAUUUUUCAUAUAUAUGCACAUAUGGCAAUAGCCAUCUUCUUAAGUUGUUUUAAGUAGUCCUACAUACAAUUGAACUCAGAACGCAUGGUCAUGCCUCUGCUUAAGUUACUUGGAACUUUUACAUGCUAAGACCAUAUCCUCCUCAUGUGUAAUUUUCUUGAAAUGGCAAGCCCUUAUGCUGGUGCAUUUUGCAAUGUGCCUUCUGAUUAAUGUGUCGAAGUUGGAUCGGGUACCAUUUAUGUGUACAUGAUUCAAUCUUCAGUGCCAACUUAUUUUGUUUGGCCCAUAUCGUUCUCACUUUCAAGCCUUGAUUUAUUAUACCUUUAGCUUUGAUAAGGUAUUUUCACCAACGACAAGAGACUACCUAACUGCUCAUUGUGGGCAUUUUCCUUAUAAAUUAGAAGAGCAAAUGGUUACGUGGUGAGACAGAUUUGUGUUAUCACGUGCUUAGACCGUUCUGCAUGUGCUAGCUAUGGACCUAGAAAAUGAAGAUACUGAAAUUUUCCUCGCAAAUGCAGGCUCCUGGAAGAACUAAUUUAGAGUGCCAUAUCUACAGUUGAUGUCAUCAAUGAUUCAGUAGAUCCUUUAUAGAAAAUCCUCUAUCUGUUAUGCUCAUCUCUCACGAUGAAAUUUUGGCUCAGAUUUCCUGUCAGGUUUGCCAGGGAAAGAGUUGAAAGAAGACAGAUAACUACCUAACUGCUCAUUGUGGGCAUUUUCCUUAUAAAUUAGAAGAGCAAAUGGUUACGUGGUGAGACAGAUUUGUGUGAUCACGUGCUUAGACCGUUCUGCAUGUGCUAGUUAUGGACCUAGAAAAUGAAGAUACUGAAAUUUUCCUCGCGAAUGCAGGCUCCUGGAAGAACUGAUUUAGAGUGCCAUAUCUACAGUUGAUGUCAUCAAUGAUUCAGUAGAUCCUUUAUAGAAAAUCCUCUAUUUGUUAUGCUCAUCUCUCAUGAUGAAAUUUUGGCUCAGAUUUCCUGUCAGGUUUGCCAGGGAAAGCGUUGAAAGAAGACAGAUAAUAUCUUUCAAUAUGCACAUAUCCCCAGAAAGCAAUUUGGUAAUAUCAUAUUUGUUUAUUAGAAUAUGUUUGCACAACUCCAUAAAGUUCUGACCAAUAGAUAGAAGUGAUUAUAAUGAACAUGUGUAGCUGACAAAACAACUACCCUUGAUGAUUAUUUUACCCCAUCAACCAGGUGAAUGCUAUAUGUACCUGAAGUAUUAGUUCGGGAUGUUUUGUCUCUCUUAUGGACACAAAUAUCUAGCUUCUAAGAACUAAUACAUAUGCACAUUAUGUUGUACAUAAAAAUGAUAAUGUUUUUAUGAUUGAGCACAUGUAGAUAAAGGAAAUAGUUAUUCCAGAUAAACCGUUGGUCUUUCACAGUUAUAAUAUGUAUUACUAUAGAAGCAGAAUCCGAUUUUCUUAUCUAGCUGCAGUAGUGAGAUAAAUCUUUGUGUGCACUUGCAUAGUUUAGGUUUUCGUUGUAAUUAUACGUACUAUCUUGUGAUUGUGGUCUUCAUUUUUAUGACUUCUGCUCUUUGUGUCAAUAUACACUUUCCCAGAAUAAAUAUCAAUUCUUUAGUUUUCAUUUUUUAUCAGGUGAAGCAGCAACACAUCUAUGUUUUUAUCAUCUGGGAUGUUUGGAACUUUAUUAUCUUUGACUGAUUGCGUACCUUUGUUUUCAAACACUGGCUGGGCUCAAGAAUUCUACUUGGCUUAUUUAGAGAAGCAUAUGUAAGCUAUAUUUGAUAAAUGCUCUCAGCCUUAGGUUGCUAAUAUUGGAAAGGUGGACAUAUAAUCUGGUCACUUCUUGACUCCGAGAGUUAGGCUGUUUGAGAAGAUUGUAAGCUUAUGGAACUGUCUGCCUAUCGUCAAGAACCUCUGAUGCAAUUGCAUAUUUUGUUCUGUACAAAUCGACAAGCUGCAGGAGUUAGAUGAGGGAAGCUGCAUCUAUUUCUCCCUAAAGAGAAAAACGCAUCUAUACUUUGCCAUGGUGCACCACACUAGCUUAUCCAAGGGCUCUAAGAUAGCGUAUGCCUUAGCUUUGCCUCAUAUGAAGUCCAUCACAUCUGAACACGGUUCUUCUUGUUUCUGGAACUUACAACAACUAAAACUUAUCAUAUCUGCUCCAUUAUUUGGCAAACUAGGCCGAGAAAGCCAUGAUGUUUCCUUUGUGUAUUCUAAAUGGGCUGCUGUGUUGGAUGGAAUAACACAACCUCCUUUUAUUUGCAUGCAAAAGAAACAGAGAGCUUGUAAAGACUGUACGAUUUGUAUUUAACCCAGGGCACACUAUGAGCAUAUGACCAUUUUAACAA